GGGGGUAUGGCGGAAUUGGUAGACGCUGUGGACUUAAAAUCCAUUGAUUUUUUUAAUCAUGAGAGUUCAAGUCUCUCUACCCCCA
rnacentral:tRNA from 2 species